AUUUCUGGAACUGCUAUUUGUGUAUUGCAUGAUAUUUUAUCAGGGAAAAAAAAAAAUAAAACUGAGAUCCAAUUUCAUGAAAAUGCUGUUGCCGUAUGCCCAGGAGGACAGGGGGAGGAGAGAAUCAAGUCUUCCUCCAUCUACCUCACGCGCAGGUACAUUUUACAAGUUCUAUUGUAUUGUGACUUAUUAAGCAGUGCAUUUUUUUUUCUUUUCCCUUAGCUUUCAUUGCAGAGGGUGUGUGUGAGGGGUGGGGGGGUGAGAUGGACGAAAGCUGAAGUGGACUGACCGUUUAUCAGAUCUGUUGGUUUCAGAAAUAUAUUACAACUCUCCAGUUAGUUACAUAACGAUCAAAAAUAUAAUUAGUAGAUGUUCUAUUCCCUUUAUCUCUAUUACCUGGGAGAAAUUACUCUAUUGCAAUGUCGUUUCCAGGAGGCCCCAAGCUGAACAUGUAAUGAUUUGGAAAAAGGAAGAAAGAUAUCUUAAGGAUGAAAUGUUUAGGCUCAAGUUCUCAUCUGUUUCAGACCUGAUUUAAGUAUCUGGUGCUGUGAAAUCCUGAAAUGAAUGCCUUCCCACAAUGCUGCGGCAUAAAACAUGGCGCUGGUGUGUACAGGUGUGUACUGGGUUCCUCCACCAGGCCGCAGCUCCCCAGCUAGAGCUGCUUGCGCGUAACCUUUCAUUAACUACUCCCUGGUAACAUUCUUUUCCUCCUCUGUGCUAUUUUUUGUCCUGAGGCUUGUGAGCAAGGCUUGGAUCAUACAGCCUGCUCUGACUGAGUAACUCAGCAUCAGAGUCCCACGCAAACCCAUGUGGGUGAUAAUAUCUCAUCACCGAAGCCCCCAUGAGCUUGGUGGACACGCACCAAAGCAGAAGAAAAUGGGCAGAACACUCAGUAGGGAUAAAUUUUGUACCUUAUAGAGAAUACCAUUGAAAUGCUGCCUGGUGGGGGACCUUGAGAGAAAGUCUACAUAAGCCUAAAAGAAGGAUGUUUGUAGCAAUUCUCUUUUGCUUUCAGGGGUUCUCACUAGCUUGAUCAUGAAGGUAUGCCAAGGCUUAAGUAAACAGGCUCCUUUUUACUUAAAAGGUAUGCAAAUUCCACAUACACAAAAGUCCUCCUCUCAGAUUUGUGGGAUAUCUGAUAAUUCCCCAUUAAAUAAUCAGUAUACACAUAAAGUUUCAGCUUAAUUAGUCUGGUUUUCCUCAUCAACAUCCUGGGUAAAAUAUGCUGCCCUUUUACAAAUCGGUAAUAAUGACGUCUCUGUUAAUGUAGAAAGCCUUGGCAUUCACAGUGCACAUUUAAACUUGCCAUGAGGGGAGCACAGCUCUGCUGUAAAAUAUGUGUUACUUAAAUUUUCCAUUCUUCAUCAAGUUUCCCUGUGCCUAGAUACAGUACAGUCAGGAGCAUGAAGGGCCUACACUACAGCCUGUGCGUUCUCUCGGGCACUAAGUCGGCCUCUGGAUGGCUUCCAGAGGUGUCUGCGGAAGGCAGCGAGUAAGAUCUGAAAGGUUAUUUUUCCUUUGACCUACAGUAGAGAAUUUUGCCAUUGCAGGUAUAUUAGCUUGCUUGUAUAAAUUAUCCUGUCUAACCAUUUAGCUUUAAUACCUCUCCUUGGGAUCCAUUUUUUAAUUAUUUGUAACUCUUCAGGCCUGAGUCACUUAACAUCCAUUGCUUUUUCCAUUUAAAUAAUGAUGUAAAGGGUUAAAUGUCCAAAACAAGCAGCUUACUUCAUAAUAUAAAUU
rnacentral:lncRNA from 1 species